rnacentral:rRNA from 1 species
AUAUCAUUAAGCGGAGGAGAAGAAACUAACAAGGAUGCCCUUAGUAACGGCGAGUGAAGUGGGCAAAGCUCAAGCCGAAAAUCGGGUCUCCAGGCGGGGAUUCGAAUUGUAGUCUAGAGACGCGUACUCAGUGGCAACCCGGGUAUAAAUCUUUUGGAACAAGGUAUCAUAGAGGGUGAGAAUCCCGUCUUUGACUCGGAGUCCGCCGCGUACGACGUGCUUUCUAAGAGUCGGUUUGCUUGGGAAUGCAAACCAAAAUGGGUGGUAAAUUUCAUCUAAAGCUAAAUAUCAGCGAGAGACCGAUAGCGCACAAGUA